GAGAUUACCCGUCUUCUUGAGCACAAAAGAGGCUCAUUCAGCUGUAUCAUGAGAAUCAGCAAAACAGUCAAACUGGGGCAUUACAAAUGUAAUGUAAAAAAAAAAAAUCAAAAAAAAAAGAGAAGAGGGUGAAAAAUCAAAGUAAAAGCAAAAAUCAGGAAAAAAUUUUCAAAUAGAAAAAAAGAAUAAAAGAAGCCUGAUACCCUCAAGUCCCUAGUUGACUGAUGCUGAAUGGAUUCAGAGUCGUUAUGACCAGCUGAAUUUGAUUGAAGAGAAGCGAUUAACUGCCAUGUGCCAUGGUCAGUUAUCUCAGCAGAGA
rnacentral:lncRNA from 1 species